rnacentral:lncRNA from 1 species
GCUUUUUGGUGUAAUGAAAUUUUUCAUAGGUUUAUCACAUAUUUAAUAUUUUGCUUAAAUUUUGAUUAGGUCUUUCAUAGUAAUUGGUUUUUUUUUUUCAUUAAAAACUAAAAUUUUCAUUUUUGAGCACCAGUCAUCCUGAGAAUAUUAAGAAAUGCAAUGACAUUUUGCACAGCUGUUUAUAAUCAUAUGCAUAUUAUUUGGGACAGUUUCAGCCCAUUUCAAAUUCAAUCUAAAAUUUAUUGUGGUUCAUCUGAGGUGUUACUAAAGAUGCUGCAAAGAAAACAUCAUUGUUCAUCCUUAUUAACAGCACAUGUUAGUGUUUUAGUAUAAUAUUGAUUAUUUAUUUGGAUUUUUAUCUGAUCUCCAUUUUUUUGGUGAUGUGCUUGUUGACCAGUCUUUAUUUUUUUUCAUGUGGUGUUUUUGUAAACUUGUUUGUCUUUUGUCUUUCGCCAUGGCUUUAACAGUGGGUUGCCUUUUUUUAUUAACUCAUUUUUUAAUCUUAAAAUGAAAAAAUUCCAAAACAUUUAUUGCAAAAUUGCUUAAAGAUAGUUUACAUAUAAACCUUUUUUUUUUGCUCCCAACUCCCCAUCUAUCCUCCUAUUUUGCAUGCUUCCACUUAAAUGUUUAAUUUAUAUGCUUUGGAUACAUCUAAAAAUAGCGUUUCUUUGAUCAAGUCAAAGCAAUAAAUUUAUAUGGUUUGAACAGCCUAAAAGAUUUAUUUUAAUAUUGAUUGUGUAUUAGUUAAUAUAUAAUAGUUUUUUCAUAUAUACAUAUUGUGAUAUUCUUUUGAUCUUUUGAUCUUUUGAUCCAGUUUACACCAUUUGAAAGUGCCAUAAUAAAGACAUAAUUUGAUUUAUUGAUGUAAGAUAUAACUGAAAUUAUUUCGUUGAAAUCUUCUUUUUAGCUGACCUGGCCCAAAGGGCCAAGUGAGCUUUUCUCAUCGCUUUGUUUCCAUCUUCUGUCGUCCGGCAUCCUGCAUCCUUCAUCCUACAUCCUGCAUCCGUAAACUUUUACAAAAAUCUUCUCCUCUGAAACUGCUGGGCCAUAUUUAACCAAACUUAGCCACAAUCAUUUUUGGGGAAUCUUGUUUAAAAAAUAUGUCUGAUGACCUGGCUUACCAACCAAGAUGGCCGUCAUGGCUAAAAAUAGAAUAUAGGGGUAACAUGUAGAUUUUGGCUUAUAUCGCUGAAACCAAAGCCUUUAGAGCAAAUCUGAUAUCUGUAAAAUUGUGUAUUAGGUCAAGAUCUAUCUGCCCUGAAAUUUUCAGACAAAUUGGACUACCCGUUGUUGGGUUGCUGCCCCUUAAUAAGUAAUUUUAAGAAAAUUGUGCAGUUUUUAGUUAUUAUUUUGAAUAAUAUUAUAGAUAGAGAUAAACUGUAAACAGCAAUAAUGUUCAGCAAAGUAAAUCUACAAAUGAGUCAACAUGACCAAAUUGUCAGUUGACCCCUUAAGGAGUUAUUGCCCUUCAUAGUCAAUUUUUAACCAUUUUUCUAAAAUUUUAGUAUUCUUUUACAAAAAUCUUCUCCUCUGAAACUACUGGAACAAAUUUAACAAAACUUGGCCACAAUCAUCAUUGGGGUAUCUAGUUAAAAAAAUGAGUCGGAUUACCUAGCCAACCAACCAAGAUGGCUGAAAUAUUUAAAAAUAGAACAUAGGGGUAAAAUGUAGAUUUUGGCUUAUAUGUAUGAAACCAAAGCAUUUACAGCAAAUCUUGUUUAAAAAAAUGUGGCCAAUGACCCUGCCCACCAACCAAGAUGGCCAACAUGGCAAAAAAUAGAACAUAGGUGUAAAAUGCAGUUUUCGGCUUAUAUCUCUGUAACCAAAGCAUUUACAGCAAAUCUAAAAGUAGUAAAAGUGUUUAUUAUGUUAAGAUCUAAUUGCCCUGAUAUUUUUAGGCAAAUCAAGCUACCAAAUUUUCAGAUGAAUCAGACAACCUGUUGUUGGGUUGCUGCCCCUGAAUUGGUAAUUUUAAGAAAAUAUUGCAGUUUUUGGUUAUUAUCUUUCAUAUUAUCUUAGAGAGAUAUAAACUGUAAACAGCAAUUAUAUAUAGCAAAGUAAGAUCUACAAAUAAGUUUACUUAAGCAAAAUGGUCAAUUGACCCCUUAAGGAUGUAUUGCUCUUUAUAUUAAAUUUUAAACAAUUUGUAUAUAUUAUGUAAAUUUUACGAGAAUCUUCUGAGCCAAGUUCAUUUUAGAUGGAGAAAAUUUUAAACAGCAAGAAUAUUCAGUUAAGUAAGAUUGACAAACCAAUCAUCAUCACCAAAACACAAUUUUAUUAUGAAUUCUAUUCUCGUCUGUAAUUUGUGUUCUUUGUUUAAUAUGCUGCUUGCACAAAGACCAAGGUGAGCGACACAGGCUCUUUAGGGCCUCUAGUUAUAAUAAAAACAUUUUGUUUAUAUUGUUGUUUGAAUUCAAAAAAUUAAAUUGAGAAAACAUAUUCAAACUUACAUUAGUGAAUAAAAGUUUACAUUUAAAAAAUGAUACAAUAUUCAAAUACUUCAGUCGAAACAUCUGUUAGUUUUCCAGCCAAAAAAGCUUAAUAUUCAUGAGCUUUGGUUCUGUUAAGUUAAACAUUAUUUUUAAUUUCAGUUCAUUUAUCUGUUUUGGAGUUUAGUAUGACAUCCAUUAUCACUGAACUAGUACACAUUUUUUUUGUUUAGGGGCCAGCUAAAGCACCCUCUGGGUGCAGGACUUUCUUACUAUGUUGAAGACCCAUUGGUGGCUUUUGGCUGUCUUCUGCUCUUUGGUCCAGUUGUUGUCUCUUUGAUACAUUCCCCAUUUCAUUCUCAAUUUUAUCAUCUUAUUUUAAGUAAUCUUAAAAAGUGACACUAAUACACUAACAAAGGACCAUAAAGGUUGAAUGACAUAAAAUUUAAGAAUACUUUUGAAUAGCUUUACUUAUUGGUAAAUUUUAGCCUAGGUUGAAAAUAAUUGAUCUGCACUAAUUUAGUAAAAUAAGAAAAUUAAGAUAAUUUUUGUAGUAAAAGGUUAUAAAGUGCUAGCUAUAAUCUGUCAUUGAUAAGCCAAAUGAUUGCUACAGAUAUUAGAGUCAGUUUAGAAUAAAAUCAGAACAUUUGUACAAAUGUAAUUAAUUGCAUUAAUCUUGUACUUUACAACAGGUGAAAUACAUUAAUGGACAGUGUUUGUGGGAAACACAAUGGGUUGUAAUAAAGGACUGGCAAUGAAAUAUUAUGAAUAGAGUAGAACACAUUAUAUCGUUCAAGGUCUCAUACAUUUAAACAUUACAAUGGUUUGAGGGUUUAAUAUUAACAUUUUUUCUUUAUUUGUAUUCAGUGAGAUAUGCAUACUGUAAUGAUUUUCUGAUAUUGUAGUCUUUAUUUAAUCUAUUUUUUUGAAACUUAUUUAGUAUGUUUUCUAUUUUCAAAUUUCAUUCCAUGAUUGUAUUUUUCCACUAUCUUGACUAAUUUUUUUUUCUCACUGAGAUUGUUGAAUAACUUAUACCAG